UGCUGACUGUCUCCAAUCUAUUCUCCUUCUACAUAUUGCUGCCAAAGUUAAACAACUAGUAUCAAACUUUCAGUUUGAUUCAGCAUGCCCAAAAAGAGUUCUUCAAAGAAACAACUAAAUGCUGAUAUAGAGCAGGGAAAACCUUCUCCAUUGAAUGUGCCCAAAAAGAUUU